UACGAAGGGGGCUAGCGUUGCUCGGAAUUACUGGGCGUAAAGCGCACGUAGGCGGCUUUGUAAGUCAGGGGUGAAAUCCUGGAGCUCAACUCCAGAACUGCCUUUGAUACUGGGAGGCUCGAGUCCGGGAGAGGUGAGUGGAACUGCGAGUGUAGAGGUGAAAUUCGUAGAUAUUCGCAAGAACACCAGUGGCGAAGGCGGCUCACUGGCCCGGUACUGACGCUGAGGUGCGAAAGCGUGGGGAGCAAACAGG
rnacentral:rRNA from 1 species